rnacentral:ncRNA from 2 species
UUAUGCAGAAGAGGAGCACUGCCUAGGUAGGUGAUUUGUGGAGCCGCAACUCCAAUACCAAUCACUCAGGGGGAGCAGUGCCGAGGUAAGUCAAAUUUGCCGGAUUUGACUUGUCGGUUGACUUGGGUUGAAUCCCAUCAACUGUCAUCAACGCUGUUUGAUGAAGAGCUUCUGAGGGU